UUAAAUUGAAGAGUUUGAUCAUGGCUCAGAUUGAACGCUGGCGGCAGGCCUAACACAUGCAAGUCGAACGGUAACAGGAAGAAGCUUGCUUCUUUGCUGACGAGUGGCGGACGGGUGAG
rnacentral:rRNA from 3 species